UAUCAUUUCUAUUUUACAUCCACCAAAUCUCAUAGGUAUUAAUUACAUCUGAAGUCAAGGUGGAUUAUUUUUUUCUCACUCCUAUUUAACUGUCAUUAAUAGAUAAAUCAAUGAUGAUCUUUGACCUCAGCUUCAUGCUGGAUCACAGUUUUCUCACAUAAAUCUCAUCAAAAGUGAAAAUGAAGACACAGAUCAACAUCAUAAAUGUUUGUGAUCAAUAAUCAUUCAGUCAUUAAUAUUAAUUUCACUAAGAAUGAUCACAAAGAGAAUCUUCCAGAACCAAGCUGUCCACAAGUCACUGGAUCAGUUUCCUAGCAGACCAUCAACAUCCUCCACAUGUCAUGAUGUGAAUAUAUAAAUAUGUGGAGUAUUAACAGUGAGAGGGAAACAGCAUGAUGCCAUGUGUUGUCCAGCUGCAGCUGACUGACUCUGUGUGUUUGCAUAUGUGUCCUGCCUCUCUGCUCCGAGCCGUUAAGAGGCCAGUGUUGAUCAGUGGCUGUCCAGGCCUUUCAGAGCCACUGACACGCCGGCAGCACAAUGAUGAUGUCACUGACUCUACUGCUGGCCACCCUGGGGCUCCUUGUUAAGGGUUCAUCAGGAGAAAUCAUCCUGACUCAGUCUCCUGAAUCUCAGUCUGUUCUUCCAGGACAGUCUGUCUCCAUCACAUGUAGAUCCAGUUCAAGUAUCAGUAGCUACCUCCACUGGUACCUUCAGAAACCUGGAGAAGCUCCUAAACUACUGAUUAGUCAUGCUUCAACUCGUCAGUCUGGAGUUUCUGAACAUUUCAGUGGAAGUGGAUCUGGAUCUGACUUCACUUUGACCAUCAGUAGAGUUCAGACUGAAGAUUCAGGAGUUUAUUAUUGUCAGCAGGGUUACAGCGAACCGUUCACAAAGUGAAAACCCGUCGUACAAAAACCUCCCUCAGCUGAAGAGGAACUGAUCAACAGCUGAAACUACAACAACAGACAUUUCAAUAAUACAAAUAUGAAUCUUAAAAUAACACAAGCUUCAGCAACAGACUCAUUCAACCCGCUGCUCUAAGGAACGAUAUAAGACAUCGUUCCUCCAAACUGCAAAAAGACUCUACAACUCAUCUACCUCUGUCAGAGCCACCAUUACAGAAAUGCACUAAUGUACCAGUCACCUUUACAGUUCAAGUAUAUCUUGUAAAGUCAAGUACUUAUAUGCAUAUAUCACACCUAUACUAUAUAU